rnacentral:tRNA from 1 species
UCCGGUGUCGCCCAAUUGGCAGGGCACGCGGCUGUUAACCGCGCAGGUCCCGGUUCGAGCCCGGGCACCGGAGC